AGCAAACAGGAUUAGAUACCUUGGUAGUCCACGCCGUAAACGAUGAGUGCUAAGUGUUGGAGGGUUUCCGCCCUUCAGUGCUGCAGCAAACGCAUUAAGCACUCCGCCUGGGGAGUACGACCGCAAGGUUGAAACUCAAAGGAAUUGACGGGGGCCCGCACAAGCGGUGGAGCAUGUGGUUUAAUUCGAAGCAACGCGAAGAACCUUACCAGGUCUUGACAUCCUUUGACCACUCUAGAGAUAGAGCUUUCCCUUCGGGGACAAAGUGACAGGUGGUGCAUGGUUGUCGUCAGCUCGUGUCGUGAGAUGUUGGGUUAAGUCCCGCAACGAGCGCAACCCUUAUUGUUAGUUGCCAUCAUUUAGUUGGGCACUCUAGCGAGACUGCCGGUGACAAACCGGAGGAAGGUGGGGAUGACGUCAAAUCAUCAUGCCCCUUAUGACCUGGGCUACACACGUGCUACAAUGGGAAGUACAACGAGUCGCUAGACCGCGAGGUCAUGCAAAUCUCUUAAAGCUUCUCUCAGUUCGGAUUGCAGGCUGCAACUCGCCUGCAUGAAGCCGGAAUCGCUAGUAAUCGCGGAUCAGCACGCCGCGGUGAAUACGUUCCCGGGCCUUGUACACACCGCCCGUCACACCACGAGAGUUUGUAACACCCGAAGUCGGUGAGGU
rnacentral:rRNA from 1 species